rnacentral:tRNA from 1 species
GCCCCUGUAUCCGCGCGGGCCUUCUAUCCCGAUGGCGGUAAAUGGAGGAUGCCGGUUCGAGUCCGGCCAGGGGCUCCA